AACAGGUGGAUGAUUGACUCUAACGUGACCAUCCGGAAUUGGCGUGUUUGGAGGACCCAUUUGUCUUUUGAAAUGUUUUGCCAAUUGUUGAAAAAGGGGUUGAGCCUUGUUUGGUGAUCCAGCAGGUGUGCCAGAGGAUUGCUGAGAAGAUCUAGAGUGAGAAGCCCGGAAAGGUCGAAAGGCCUGGGAAGAUUGUUGUUGAUACUGCUGUUGUGGCAGUGUCCUUUGCCACUGAGACUUGUGAAACCGUGGUUGCGGAUGUAUGGUGUAAGAUUUUGCCGUCUUCUUACUCUCGUGUAUAGAUUUCAAAGAUUCGUCUGUUUUCUCAUUAAACA